UUCAUCUCUGUUUUAAAUCUGCCCUUAUUUUUCAGUGUCUAUCUAUCACGAGUGUUUCUAAUGGUGAGAAGCCAAGAAACUCUUAGGAUAUUCUUGAGAUAAGGCACACAUUUUAAUGCAUGUUUAAUAACACCCUAUUUUCAUGAGACUGGGUCGAUUUUGUAUGUGGCGUGUUAUCUACAGAAGCCUUCCACCAUGUCCUCCAUGCACAUCUUCCUCACAGUCUGUGUUGUGAGUCUAGAUGGAUGUGAGCACAGAUCUAAAGUUUCCUGCCUCCAUCUGUUCAGUGAGUAUUAUAAUUUGAUACACAGAAAUAAGGUUUAAAAAUUUUAACUAGUGGGUCUUUCUAGACUUUAAAUGUUUGAUCUUUAAAUUUAGCUUUUAUUCCAACAAACUGCUCUUUCGUGAUCAUAACAUAUUUUGGUACCAUUGCAUAUUAGUAUAACAUAUUGCUCCCCUCUAAAUUUUUCCCAAUCAUUUCAUUGGUUAAUAUAAUGUAAUAUUUCUUAUACUGUAUCUGGAGAAUUAUCCUUGGGUAUCCGUGACUUACUGAUUCAGUAUAAACAGAUAUAUCACCUUAUAUUUUGACUGUAACAGUUGGCUUUGAGAACUCAAAUAACCUUGGGGUCUAUGUUAUGACUUACAAUGAAUCUUUGAAGUUAAGAUAUAUUUUACAGCCUCUCCUAGUCAAUACAUGGAUAUGAUGAUAAGGUCUACCCACAAUAUCUUGGAAACAAAACAACUGAAAUAUAUUUAACCCUAAUCCAGGUCCUCUUUCACUGAUAUCAGGAUAGGAUAGACUGUAUUCUACAAGCUAAAAUUUAAAGUUAAAUUUUUAGAUUGUAAAAAUUUAAACAAUAUUAAUACAAAAGGAGUGGUUAAUAUUAUUUCCAGAAAAAAGGGGACAUCCUGAAACCAAAUUUAAUGUGUCCACAAUAUUGUAAAAUGAGAAGUCAAUGAUGACUAACAGAUCCUCUCCAUCCUGGUUGGCUUAUGGUACAUAUUUAAUUUAUUAAUAUUCACCAGCAGGUUCCAACAAUCAUUCCUUGCUUUAAUCACCUACUGCAUUAGUCUGCUUGGCAUCAAAUUUGCAACAAAGAUGAAAGAUAUAUAUGUAAUUUCUCAGCUUACAUUUUGCAAUAACAAAAUACCAUAGACUGGGUAGCUUAAACCAUAAAAAUUUGUCACAGUUCUGGAGGCUGAAAGACCAAGAUCAAGGUGCUGGCAAGAUAGGUUUUAUUCUGAGGCCUGUUAUCUUGGCUUGUAGGUGACUGCCAUCUCACUGUGUCCUCACAUAAUCUCUUUGGGAGUGUGGCAUGGAGAGUGAGAACAAGCUUUCUGGUAACUCUUCUCAUAAGGGCACUAAUCCCAUCAUGAGGGCCCCACCACCCUUAGGACCUCAUGUAGCUUUUUUUUUUUUUUAAUUUGAUUUAAGUUCUGAGAUACGUGUGCAGAAAUUAUAGGUUUAUUACAUGGUAAAAGUAUGUCAUGGUGGUUUGCUGCACCUAUCAACCCAUCACCUAGGUAUUAAGCCCCACAUGCAUUAGCUCUUUACCCUGAUGUUCUCCCUCCCCUUGCUCAGACCUCAUGUAAUUGUAAUGAUCUCUCAAAAUCUCCAUCUGCAAGUCCCAUGGCAUUGGAUAUUAUUGCCUCAACAUAUACAUUUUGGAAGGACACAAAUAGCCAGUUCAUUAUACCUGCUCAGUCACCUUCUGAUUAUUAUUUAGGUUGAACCCUUGUCCAGAUGAGAAGGAAUCACAAAUACAGGCUUUGAUUUGAGACUGUAAUGUAUUAGGAGUUCAGAACAGUGGAGGACAAGGCAGGAAAAGCCCACAGCCUCAAUAUACAGAAGUAGGACAGGACAUUAUGGAGAAUUCAAAAUAACAAGCCAAGCAGGCCACCCAGUUGAGUCAUCAAUCUGAGUUGGAUGGUCUGAGAAAGUAAGCCCAGGCAGGAGAGAGGUUAUAGGGGCAGAACUGUGAAGAGUAAAAGUAUCCAGAAGAAGGAUGGUACCAGGAACCAGGAAAAAUUCUCCAAAGCCUUAUGAACAAAGCCACGGUCAUUUUUAUGGCAAUGCAGAAGAUGCUAUGAGAGGGCCCAUCUGACUUAGCCAUAUAUUUGGCUUGCAACUUUGACUUUGCUACAUGAAAAGAAUGUUUUAGUUAAAAUUUGAUCUAUGUGUCAAUUCUAUAUUUUAAAUAAACAUAUUAAAUAAAUUGACCUUGCAUUUUUUACAUGUAGUAUCUUUCUUACUUGGAUAAUGUAAGUUCAGCUCCCUGAAUACGAACAAUUCUAGGUAUACCCUUAGAAGUAGGGUUUUAAAUAACAAAGCCAAGGGACAGAGUGUUAGUAGAGAUCACACUGCAGGAGGUUCUCCCUGUUGCGACUACUCUUCCAAGAUGUCAUUUUCCAUCAGCCAGGGGUAAAAUUACAAAAAAAAAAAAAAAAAAAUCCUCCAAAUCACAAUGACUUUAAGCAAAACAAAGAUGCAUUUCUUUCUUUCAAUCACAGUCUAAUUUUGUAUCAUUGGGAAAGAUGACUCUGCUUCACUCUGUUACUCAGGGAUCUAGGUUCACUUCCUCUAAUGGCUAUCUUCUAGAAACUUGGGUUAUUUGCUGGAUUUUCGGCAUCGGAUAAAAGAAGAGGAGGGUUAUGCAGAAAGUAUAUGAAUGUCAGGUCUUGACAUGGAAUACAUUAUUUCCACUCAUAUUCCAUUGGCUAGAACUCAGUUGCAUGGUCCCUGCAAGGGUGGUUGGGAAAUGCAGUCUAGUGUGUCUAGGAGGCAAAGGCACCAGAUAAUGGUAAACACAUAUCUUAUGAUUGCUAUAUCUCUUUAUCUGCUUAUCUCUCUACAGCCUCUUCUCCACCAGUAGGAAAGUUGUAAAAAAGAAGAUCUACAACAAAAGAUACUCCAAAUUAUGCUUAUGUUUUAAUAAAUAUAAUUUCUAAAAAAAUUGAUGAACAAAAAUCUGGACAGUGGUCACAAAGUCAGUUUCAAAUGGUUUUGAGCAUAUCUGUGAACACACCAUAUGUUCCAAAAACAAUUAGUCAUUGUUCAAUAUGAAUAGACAGAAUUGUAGCCAAUAAAUUUAAAAUAAAUUCUUGAAUAUACUUAGCAUUAGAAGAUUUGAUAUUAUUUGAAAGCUCUGGUUACAGUUCUUUAUGGCUGUUUAUUUGUCACGAGAAGCAUUAAGUUUUCGCCUAAAUCCAUAUUUCAAUAGAGUAUUUAUGCACUUGGUUCAAGAAAGAACUUGCCAGUGGCCUUCUGAGAGACAGCCUUGGCACUAGCAACUUUGAAUAAUACAUCAGGGAAAAAGCUUUCAAACAAAUUCUUUAGGUUAAAAGUAAGCUGUAGCCAUAACUAAUAUGCGAUGACUUUUACUUUAUAUCAGAGGGAAGAAAUAGCCUCUUAUUUAGUUAAUUCUAGAACUACACUCUCUAGGACAAUGACAAUUAGCCACAUGUAAGUAUUUAAUUAAAAUUAUAUAAAAUUAAAAAUGUAGGUAGUUACUCUGGCCACAUGUCAAGUGCUCAGUAGCCUUAAGUAGCUCGUGGCUAUCAUAUUGAAGACAGAAGACAUAGGGCAUUUCCAUCAACGUUGCUCCUGGGUAGCAGUGAUCUAGAAGUUUGCUGACCCAUAGCCAUGCGAGAGGGAGAAACAGAGACAAAGAACUCUGGAUCAGGAUGUCUGUUACUUAUUCCUUUUUUUCUUUGUGCACAAAUAUGAAUGUGUUCGGUACAUUUUAAAAAAUCAAGCUUAAACAACUGGGUGUUUGCUUUGAUGCCUAAGGAAGGGCAGCUAGCUCAUUGGGGACUUUUAUUUAUUGCUUUUGUGCUAGCAAACAGACUACUAAAACAAUUGAAAAGAAAGCCAUUCUGUUUGGUGUGAAUGGGCAUAAUAAAUUAAAUACAAUGCAAUUUAACCUAUGAUACUUAAGUAACAAAAUAUAUCUGUAUACAUUUUAAAAUAUGAAAGCCAAAUAGGCUACUAAAGUUUCUUUCUCUCUCUCUCCUCUCCUUUCCAUACACUCUCCCACAUCCUUCUAUUUUUUUCUGGUUCCUGGAACAUUCUGUUUUUUUUACAAGCUAACAAGUUUGAUGUGGCUCUGUGUCUUAUUCCCUUCCAGGCUUGCAGCUGUUUUGGCAACAGAAGAAAAAAUCCCCAUAACAAAUCAAAUAAAAGCCCUUUAUGUGAAGAGGAAUUGAAAACAGCAGGCCUCAAAGAGGACUGCACAUGAGAUGCCUUGUUCUGGCUUUCAACACAACUCAAAUCAGAAACACAUUACCAUAAUCUGAAACAGCCCACUGCUAACACAAGACAGAUGGUGGGUAAUAACCCAUGCAUCAUUAAUAAAUAAAUUCCAGCAUUAAAGGCUUUACAAAGUAUGACAACAUUAUCUGGGCACAAUUACUGCCCCUCUCCCACCCCCAACAUCAUUUCAGUGUGUUAUGGGAUAUGCUAGGUUUAUUUUUUUUUUUUUUUCCCCUCCAACUCCAUGGAUCUGAAGGAAGUUUAAAUACGACACAAGUUUUAACCAGAUGAAACCUAUCUCAGUGUACAAGACAGGUCUGAAACUCCAUAAGGGAAAAAUAAAAUAGCUGCCAAAGUUUAAUAGCUCACAUGUUCUGGUGUUGGAUCAGCCCACAGCAAUUUAUUGCACUGCCCUCCAUGCGCUGGCCUCACCCUUUCUGGUACGCCUCUGUGCCUGUAUUGCAGUAUACACUCCAAGCAAGAAUCUUGGCAUCACAUUUGCCACAAAGCUGAAAGAUAUAUGAGUAACUUCUCAGCUUUCCUUUUGCAAACGAUACCAUCUGUCUCUUUUCCCCCAGCUCCCCCCACCAAGGGGGGAAGAAAAAACAGCCUCUGAUUAAAUUGAAAAAAGGAGAGAGAGAGAGCAUUUUAACUCCAUAAAUGUUGGAAAUUUAAAAAAAUUAUUUUGUUUUGUUUUAAUUUGUUUGUUCAAUGGGAUAAUGUUAUUCCAACAGAAUGUGAGGAGUAUAAGAAUGCAGCAAUGUGACACAGAACUGUGCAGACCUCUUUGGGUGAUGUUGUCUGGAAUUCCCCAGGGUAGCAGCGUUCCUGCAAAGCCUAAGUGCCUACUUCCUAUGCGUGCCAUCCUAAGCCAAAAGUCAAGCAUGGUCCUGGCCAUCAGUUCUGGAAAAAUACAGGCCUUAGGAGAGCAAAUAUUAUAUUAGAUUCAUCCUAUAUAAAUUACAUAUUCCUCCUCAAAAGUGGGUAAUAUAAGCAUUUUUGUCAAACAGACCAGCAUCAUGUUUUUAAUGAAAGAGAUAAACUAUUUUACAUUAACUCACUUGACAGGUGAAGAGCUAGGAACAGAGAAAAUAAUACAUGCUAACCAGGCUAAUCCAAGAUUACUAGAAGGCCAAGGGAAAGUAUCUCCGUGGCAUCAUCCAUUGACCCAAGUGGUCAGUCAUGUGGAUGUGAUUUAUAGUCCAAGAAAUCCCUCUCUGGAACAGCUGUCCCUUUUCUUUCAGCACACAGAGAAUUUUCCUUCCACUUAGACUCAUGUGAAGGCUGAUCAGCAAGACUUUUCUAAUUAGCAUCUAAACCCUUUGCCUCUAUGUCCUCUUCUUUCCCAAACUUAAAUCAAUAUUUUUUAUGUGUACAUAUGUAUCUACUUUCUCUUAAUUCACUGUGUGUUUAUCUUAUUUCCUCCAUUAAACUGUGAGAUUCCUGAGGGUAAAUACUAUGUCUAAUCUAUGCCCUAAAUUCCCCUUAGCACCCAGUACAGAACACCACACUCAGGCUAAAUGAAAUGACAACUCAGAGACAGACGCCAAGGCCCCUGGCAGCGCAGACUCGGAUGGAGUCUAUGAGUUCCAGAGGCCAGCAACCACAGUAAAUUGGAAGAUCCUGGGUAUUUCUGGUGCUCAGAGCAAGAAUGGUUCAUAUUUGGCACAAAAGCUGGAAUCCCACAGUGAGGAGAGAUGGAAAACAAGAAUACUGCUCUUGUACAAAUAAGUGGACUGGAGCAACGAUCCGUGAAAUGGUGUCCUGGAAACUCCAUCCCAGGCGCCCUCACUGUAAUUGUUUUUAAAAUGGUGGUGAAGCAAAGAGCAUUUUGGAAAUCUUUUCCUAACCCCUCACAGGAAAAUGUGAAGGCAGCAGUCACCACCUGCAAACAAACAGAUCAUUGGUGACUGACUGCAGCAUCAAACUGUACCUGAGCUUCCCAGAGAAAUGGGCUCUUUGUUUCAGGUAAUUGGCAGAAUUAGAAAAAUGGCCUUCAUUACAAUCUCUCUAUAUAAAUUUUUGAUUUAUAGGUUUGUGAUAAAUUAAUAGCUUUGAAGUUUUACAAGGGUUGCCAUGUAUCUCAUAUCAAACCAAACAGCCCAGGACCAAGACUUUGAUCAAGUAUUGAAUUUGCUUUUAUCAAUGGGUGUCCAGGGUUGCUUGGGGUCCCAAGAAUCUCUGGCAUUUAAAGAUGCCUGCUGCCCCUGCUGGAAUAUUUGGAAAUGCUAUUAAGAAUUGGUGCCCUGAAGGCAAGUAGAUUACCCAGAUUUCCUCUUUCAAAGAGAUACUGUGAGACUUGGAAAACAGUAUUUAUUUUUUACUUCAAUUUAAUAUGAAUAAUUGAGUCCUAGUAUAUAAAUAAUAGAGUCCUCAGCUAGAAAAAAACCUUAGUUGCUAUUCAGGUUGUGGCAGUCUCCAAUCGUAUAGGAAUGCUCUUUGCAAACUUCUGUAACUAACACUUCCAGUGAUGAAAAGCUAAUACUCUUUGUAAUGCAGACUGUUUCAUUGUGUGUACAAUUCUGAAUCCCAGAUCCUUUUCUCUCCACUCUUCUAAUAUAGAGCUCAAAUCUAUUGUGUCCAAAUUCCCAUCCGUCUUUUUUCUAAGUCAACAUUUUAGAGACUUAAAGAACAUAAACAUCAUCUUCCACAUGACAACCCUUAAAAUACGUGACUCAAACCAUUCCUGAAAAGUCCUUUUUUGUCCAAGCUAAAUGUCCACAUUUUUCUCAGCUAUUGCUGUUUUAAGUGUGAUUUUCAUAUCACUCACUGGUCAUUUGAGUUUACAUAAUCUUCAGAAUUUCAGAAUAUCUUUUAAAAUAUAGAAUUAAUAACUAAACAUAAUACCACAGAUUAUGCUAUGACUGAAAAUGCUGUGAAGGUAUUUUAUUGGAUUUAUCUAUUUUUAUAAUAAUGCAGCUUCAGAUUUCAUAUAAUCACAGCAAUGAUGGAUCUUCCCUCUUCUGAUCUUUAUUUAUCAUCUGAUUUUUGUUUUCCUUAGGUACAUUUUCCCUUUUUCACUACAAAAUAAUUUUUAAAAUACAGAAAAAUAUAUAUAUAUAUUUUUUGAGACGGAGUCUCGCUGUAUCGCCCAGGCUGGAGUGUAGUGACGCGAUCUCGGCUCACUGCAAGCUCCGCCUCCCGGGUUCAUGCCAUUCUCCCGCCUCAGCCUCCUGAGUAGCUGGGACUACAGGCGCUUGCCACCAUGCCCAGCUGAUUUUUCGUAUUUUUAGUAGAGAUGGCGUUUCACCAUAUUAGCCAGGAUGGUCUCGAUCUCCUGACCUCAUGAUCCACCCACCUCUGCCUCCCAAAGUGCUGGGAUUACAGGAAGUCUUAAUAUCUAAGAGGGAGGAACCCAGCCUGUAUUAUUCACCUUGAAAAUUUUCAUCUUACAAAUUACUUGACCUUCCCCUUGUUCUUAUACAUAAAUUUCUGGAUCAGUUUGUUAAAUUUCAUCAAAAACAAAAGCAAAACCCUUCAGGGCUCUUGUUUGUAACUGCACUGAAUUAAUUGAUUUUAAUGGGGAGAAUUAAAAUAUUGGUUCCUAACUUUUAAAUGCCAGACAACAUGUUUUCUCCUGAGCAUUUUAUUUCUCACCCUGACCAUGAGACCCAAUAAAUAAGGUCAAGUCACAUCAUACCCUAGCAGUCAAAAGCAGAGUUAUCAUACUGGGAGUGGUAAGAGGUAGGACUGUGGUUACACAAUGAAGGCAAGGUAGAAAACAGUUGACAACCGCAGUGUCUCUUAUUACUCUCUCACUCAAUCAUGACAAUACAUGGACAAUAACAGCCACAGCAGUGUGAGAAGAACAUGGUAACCAGAGGCUCAGAACCCUCACAGAUAAAAGUGUGUUAACCUGACUUGAUAAACCAGUAAUACCAGUUCAGUUACUAACUGAGGAUGUGGGCAAUUUCAAAUGGGUACUAGAGGAGGAAGAUGAUGAGCACCUAUGAUAAUCUGAGACCAACUAUUGUAGUAGGGACUGCCAUUUGUUUUACUACCUUUUCUCUUUUAUAAUUUCUAGAAAAAGAGACUAACAAGAAUCAUGGAGAAGCUUUUUCCAAUUGGAGUGAACUUAUUAUAUGGAACAAAUAGAUCUGAGCAGUGCUGGGGUGAACUGUAGUGGAUGCUGUGUUUUGUGACACAGAUGUCCUUUGUGACUAAGGCACUCAUUUCCCCAGGUUCGAGACUGUUGGUUGCUGAUUGCUCCCAGCUGAGUCAGUCUCCAAGCAAUUUUUUCAGCCAAGGAAAUCAUCCUAUCCCAAAAGUUAAACUCCAUUCCCUGAUGAAAGCUGUCAUAUAAUAAUUAGUUGUUGGGGACAGGGAGAGUUAAAAAAAGCCCCACAUUGUUGCCACAAUUGAGAAAUCUCUGAAUAGCCAUCCCAACCACUGUUGCCGCUGAGAGUUGUGAGACCUCUGUUAGAACUGCAUGAUUACAGUUCAGUUUCUCCUGUGUUUAAUCCUGCUUUCUUCACUCUUCAUUGGUGUUGCUCAUCAGAGAACUCCCCAAAAAACUAGCUGCAUGAAAACUCAGAGCCUCAGACUUUUGUUCCUUUGGGAUAUCUGACUUCCAAAAAUUACUAAAAUUUCCAUUAAUUAUACCUGCACAUAAUUUCAGUAACCAAGGAUUAUAAUUCAAGUUGACUGUGGGUAUUUGAAAACAUAAAUCAUAUAUUAUCUUGCCAUCUCACUGGAGAUAUUAAGAUUGAAUUCCAUACUAAAUAUAUUUUAGAAAUAUUUUCUCAUUCUAAUUCUGUUUCUAUGAAUAAAAGAUUUUCUCUUUUCCCCUGACAUUCUGGAAUUUAUCAGUGAUACCCAUUUAAUUUUUUUCAAUUAAUUUUACUGAGUAGUCAGUUGCUUUAAAAAUGAAAACAUAUAUUUUUCCAUUUGAAAAAAAAUGUACCUAUGUCUUUGAUAACCGCCUUUUCCCUGUUUCCUUUGUUCUCAUUUACUAGGACUCCAGUUAAGUGAAUGUUGGACCUUCUAGAUGAAUAAUUUAACUUCUUAACGUUUCUAAAUUUUAUCUCUUUGUUAUUUCGUCUACUUAUUGAGAGACUUCGUCAACUUUUAACUUCCAAAUUUUUGAAUUGGAAGAUUUUUAAUUUCUAUGAUUUUCUUAUUUUACUCUGAUGAUUCUUCUGUUGAUGGUGC
rnacentral:lncRNA from 1 species